GUAGGAGCCGGCUUGCUGGCGAUGGCGUCGUGCCAGCCAAUACACACAUUCACUGACCCACCGCUAUCGCCAGCAAGCCGGCGCCUAC
rnacentral:misc_RNA from 1 species